AUCAGAUGUGUCCCAAGGUCCAGGCCAGGCCCUAAAUAGAUGAGGCUGAUGGCCCAGAGGGUGUAGCACAAUCUAGUGGUCCUCAGUGUGGUCCUCUGAAUUUGACUGAACUUAGGAUAACCAUUCAGCUGGAGAUGCUUUGCCUCAUCCAACCAUUUAGAGGACAUUUUGGCUCCUUUAGAAGAUGGAAGCAGAAGGAUUAAGACAUUAGGGCCAACCUUGGCUAUAUAACAAGUUUGAGGCCAACCCGCCCUAUUCAGUAUUUUGAAACAAGCAAGCAAGCAAACAAAUAAAUAAGCCAACACAUUCUGGAGUUUGAGGAUGCAGCUCAAUUGGUAGAAUAUGUGUUUAGCAUACACAGAGCUUUGAAUUUAAUCCCCGGCAGUGCUUAAAGCUGAGCGUAGUAGUGUAUGCCUGUAAUCCCAGCACUAAGGAGGUAGGAGGAUAGCCCUGAGUUAGAGACUAGAGACCACAGAGUUAGUUCCAGGCCAGCUUGGAUGUAGGACAAGACUGUGGAACACUCUUCAAAAA
rnacentral:lncRNA from 14 species